UACUUCCUAGGAAUGUGUGUAUGAUUCAAGCCAUGUAGCUUGCUCCAUGUUAUGGAAACCAGCAUAAAGAGAUUGGGAAAAGUAGGUAGAAUGAGAGAGGGAUCAAGGGAGAGAGAAAGAGAAAAAGAGACAGAGCAAAAUUUCUAGCACCCCAACUGAGUCCAGCUUACCAGUCGUCUCAGCAAGAUCCCAUAUAUGUAAGCAAACACCGUUUGAAAUUAUAUCCCGGUUGAGCCUCCACACACCCAAUGCCCUUGGUGAUGCAUCACAUGGAGAACUAUCAGCUGAGCUCCAUUGAUCCAUAGAAUCAUGAGAGGAAACAAAUUUGACAAUGUUUUAAGUCACCACAUUUGGGAUGUUUUUUCCAGUCCAAUAGAUGAUUGAAAUAGGCAGAGGGAUAAGUAUAGUGUUGUGGCAGUUUUAUCAGUAAAUUGUUUUUCAACUUCAAAUUCUGCUUUCUUUGGCCCUUCACAUGAUCUUCCUUUGGCAGCCGGCAUGAUUUUUUUACCAGUAGAGGGCGCCAGACACACAUUCCUAGAGGGAGGGCUCUGGGGGUGCUUUCUACGGGCUCCUGGAGAACAUCGUCCUUCCUACUUUGCUUGGCAUUGCUGGGUGCCUGUGGGAUACAUUUCUCCAUAUUUAAGUGUCAGGCAGGUUUUUUUGUUUGUUGAUUGGUUGGUGUUUGCUUGUGCCUUUUCUUUUGUUUUUUUCCCCAGCUCUCCACUCUGGCAGCCAUGUGGAUAGGAGUUCCAGACAGUGCAAACCUGCACUGCAGCCCAGAUGCUUACUCCCUUCACCCUUUCUUCAAGCCCUGGGUCUAGAGCGCUGGGUAUCUGGCGAGCCCACCAUCCAACCUUCAUCUUGCGCAGCCAUCGGAGUUGCCUUGGCCCAAGCUGUAGUCAGAAUGUCUCCUCUUUCAUGAUUUUUCCUGGCUUUCUAAUUGUUUCCAAUGGAAUCACAUAAAGCUCAUCUAGGACUAAGUAGCUGGACGCAGCAGUACCAGGUGAAGAAAUCAAUGCCUUCAUAUGGAGACGGAGAAAUAUGACUCAGUCAGGUGUGACAGCUGCUGCAGCUGCUGUUGGUUCCUCCUGGGGUCUGCUGAGCAGAAUUACAGAAGGCUGGGCUCCCAGAUGUUGCCCAAACCAUGGCCAAUGUUGCUCAUGUUCAUAGUUAAUACUGGAAUCUGCAGUUUCCUGUUGCUGCUGCAGCUGCUGCCUAGAGAAGAAAAAAUUGGCUUCCUCUCACACUGAGCAGAACCUAACUCUAGGCUUUGGUGAUAAGGGAGAAUAAGAUAAUGUCUGAGACGAUAUAUUAUCGUAGAUUGUGUUGUGUUCUCUACUAGUGGUUUUUCUUACAUGAGAAGAUUUGAAACAAGACAAGAGACUGAAUAAAACACUGCAAAAUUUAUUAGAAGAGAAAGAAGAAGGGGCAAGGACGGAAGAGCCCUCAAUGGAGAGAGAAGGUUGUUGAAAACAACACCUUCACCUCUUCGUAUGCCAGCCUUAAUUGGAGCAUGGUGGGAUUGUUAGAUGGUCCCACCACGUAUCACCUUUGGUGUCUGGACUAGAGAUUCCAUUAGCUAACAACCUCAGUGCAACUCUGGGUCAUCUUGGUCCAUGCUGACAGGCCCUAAUUGGAAUGGGUUUUACAGAAUUUAUGGUCAGUGGGCUCUGGUCUUAAUCAUUCUGCUUUCCUAGGUCUGGGAACCUCUGCUAUGUGUUGUUUAGGGUCUUGUUUAAGAUGUCUUGCCAAUUAGGCACUUUUGAAUAGACAUAUCCUUGCCCUUUGAUUCUUACUCCCUAAAUUUAUCUGUCUUCCUCCUGUUGUAAGAGGAAUAGUUUAUAGGGCUGAGAUCAGGCAAGGGUCCUAAAAUAGUAAUCUUGUCAGACCUUGCAGCACCACCAAAGCAGGGCUAUUGAUUAACUCAUUUGUCUAUGCUAAAUAUUUUCUUAAACUCCUCAUUCUCAUGUCUAACUGCUACCUCACACUAUCAAAGAGACCCAGGAAGUGUGGUUUGCAGGAUUUUGACAUGGAAGAAGUACAUAAGGUUCUGGAGGGCCAACUGCCAAUUAUCUUUCUCUUUUCUUCCUGUUUUCUACUCCAUCUUGCCAGACAGUUUGAGUUUUCUCCAGGGUGGGGAGGAAGAUUGGAAAAAGAAAGAUCUGACUUGAACUAAGAGUACAGAGAGCACGUUUGCUGAUUUCUGAGCAUGGCAAAAUUGAGAGAUGACUUUUUCUUUUGUGGGUGGUUUUGUAAGCCUUUUGCAGGUCCUUUACUGGGCUUCUCUCCCAAGGUCACCUAGGGAGCAGAUCCAACAUUAUUCUGUCUAGUUAGCCCUCCUUAUUUGAGAUUCCACAUCCUCAGAUUCAACCAAGAACCAAAACAUAUUUGGAAAAAAAUUUGCAUCUAUACUAAAUAGGUACUGACUUUUUCCUUAUCAUUAUUCUCUACACAAUAUAGUAUAAAAGCUAUUUAUACAGCAUUUAUGUAGUGUUAGGUAUUAUAAAUAAUCCAGUGAUGAUUUGAAGUAUAUGGAAGAAUUGUGUAAGUUAUAUGCAAAUACUAUAUACCUUUUUACCUAAGGGACUUGAGUAUCUGCAGAUUUUGGUAUCCAAGGGUGUCCUGGAACAAAUCCCCCAUGGACCCCGAAGGAUGACUGCACAUAACUUGUGGCUUCUUUAGUCCCUAUUUUUUCAACCAGUUUCCUGACACUGUGAAUCCUCUUCACUUUGUGGAAGCUCAGUUAGAGAGGACCCAAAAUGACCCAUGGCCUUCUCUGAGUCCCAUGUGGCCCACCUCUGGUCUGCAGAAAACAUUUGGUUAUCACUAAUCCAUUUUAUAUUCCGAACCAGAAAUGUGUGAGAGUCCCAGUUUCUCUAUACUUCAACAAUAGUUACUGUAGUCUGCUUUAAAAGAAAAAAAAAAUCAUAGCCAUCUUAGGUGUGUGAAGUAGUAGUGUGUGAAGCUCAUUGUAGUUUUUAAUUUUAUUUCCUUAAUUGAUCAAUAGCAUUGUCACCUUUCAUAUGAUUGUUGACCAUUUGCAUACCUUUUGGGGGGAGAAAUUUCUAUUCAAAUUCUUUGCUUAUUAAAAAUUGAUGAUUUUUUUUGUUGAAUUUUAAGUCUUAUUUAAAUAUUCUAGAUACAAACCCCUUACUAGAGAGGUGAUUUUCUCUCUUCGUGGAUACUCUUAUCACAUUUUUUAUAUUUUUUUAAUUUUUGAUGUUAUCCAAAAUUUUUCAAUUUUGAUAAAGUCCAACUUGUUUAUUUUUUUUCUUUAAAUGUGAGUCUCUUUUUGGACUCAAUCCUACUCCAUUAAUCAUUCUAUCUACCUUUAUGCUGGGAUUACACAGUCUUGAUUACUGUAGCUUUGUAGUAGGUUUUGAAGCCACAAAGUUUGAGUUCUUCACUUUUGUUCUUUUUUUUUUUAAGGCUGUGUUGGUUAAUUUAGGUCCCUUGGAUCUCUAUAUGAAUUUUAGGAUCUGUUUGUCAAUUUCUGCAAAAAAAAAAAAUGCAGCUGGGAUUUUGAUGUAGAUUGUGUUUAAUUUGUAAUCGGUUUAGAAACUAUUGCCAUUUUUAAUAAUAUUAAGUCUUCCAAUCUAUGAAAAUGAGAUACAUUUCAAUUUAUUUAGAUCUUCUUUAAUUUCUUUCAGUAAUGUUUCCUGUGUACAAUUUUUCUGCUGAAUUUAUCCAUAUGUAUUUUAUUCUUUAUACUAUUAAGGAUGACAUGAUCUUUGUAUUUCACUGUUGAAUUUUUCAUUACUAAUGUAUAAAAAUGUAACUACAUUUUCAUAUUGAUUUUGUAUCCUGGAAAUUUGCUGAACUUGUUGAUUAGUUAUAAUCAUGUGUGUGUUCUUUAUAAUUUUUAAUGUUUAAGAUACAUAAGAUUAUUUCAUCUACAAGUAGAGGUUUUUUUUUUUUCCCCUUCUUCUUCAUUUCCAAUCUGGAUGCUUUUUUAUUUAUUUUUCUUCCAUAAAUGUUUUGACAAGAAUUGCAAGUUCAAUGUUGAAUAGAAGUAGUGAAAGAAAACAUCCUUUUUUCCCCCAACCUAAGCUUAAGAGGAAGCAUCUAGGUUUUCAUGGUUAAAUAUGACCUAAUCUUAAGUUUUUCAUAGUUGUCCUUUAUCAGGCUUAAGAAGUUCCCUUCUGUUUAUAGUUUGAUGAGAAUUUCCACCGUGAAAUGCUGUUGAAUUUUUUCAAAUGCUUUUUCUGUAUCUAUUGAGAUGAUUAUGUACCUUUUUUUAAAUCAAUGUAGUAUAUUACAUGAUUGAUUUUAAAAUGUCUAAGUAGCAUUCAUGGGGAAAAAUAAUAGUCAUGGUGUAUAAUCCUUUGUAUAUGUGGCUGGUUUAAGCUUACAAGUGUUUUAUUGAGGUUUGCACAUAAAAUCAUUGAAAAAUGUUUGUUGAACUAAUGCAUGCAUACAUGAAUGAAGGAGUGCUUAGAGUGCAAAGACCUCCCUCAUACAUAGUCCCUUAAAUACAUGCAUACAAAUUUUACACAUAACUUCCAGGAAAUUUAAAAACAUCAGAUUAAAUAGCCUUAAAAAUUUUGAUAUUGCCAAAUGAUCCUGUAGAAUGAUAGUGGUUAUGUCAAAGUAAGAAAAAAAAUAUACUGAUUAGAAUCAAAGGAAGGAGGCUGACAGCCUUGUUUUCUAAUUCAUAGGUGAGAGAACUUAUUUUGACAGCCUCUGUUUCUUCAUCCAUAAAAUGGAUGGGUGGUCAGGGAGCUUGGGGAAGGGUACUUUUGAGUUGAUACCUUGCACAUAGCUGUAACAAUCCACAAAUCUCUAAAAUGCCAUGUAAAAUUUAGAUUUGAAGAGAAUUAUUUUGCAUGUUUUAAAAUUCUUAUUUAAUGUCUCUGAGGUUAUUGUGGAGGCAAAAAUAUAUACAUUAGUUCAACACAGUAUGGUAAACACAAAUCUAUUUAUAGAAGCACAGAAAAGAAAGUGGGUAAUCCCCUUUAAGGGUAUCUGAUUAAACUUUAAGAAAAGAUGGCAUUUGAGCUGAGUUCUGAGAGAUAAAUAGGGGUUUGCAAGUUACAGAAGGCAGGACAGUGAGAAGAUUUUUUUUCCUAUAUUUCUGCUUCUGUUUUCUGUUCAUAAGUUUGUAGCUUAAAUUUUUCAAGAAGCAUUUUUUAACUUCCUUUCUAAAGUGUUCUCAUAAAUAAUUUGUGAAAGAACAAUUCCUUGGUCUUAAGAUGGAAUUUUGUAUAUACAUAGAGAGUUCUAGUGUGUUCUUAUCUUGCUGCUGAAAUUCGAAUUUUCUGGACUGUGCAUGUGAUUAAAGUUAAAUUGACAUGUGGUGUGACUACACAUCGUGUACAACCAGAGAAAUGAAAUGUUGUGCUCCAUUUGUGUACCAUGAAUUGAAAAGCUUUCAAUGUGUAUGUAUAAUAUCAUGUUGCUGGUUUUCAAUGUCAUAUAUAAAUGAUUAGAACUAAUAAAAAAUAAAUUUUAAAAAGUUAAAUUGAA